GAUGAACGCUGGCGGCGUGCCUAAUACAUGCAAGUCGAGCGAACAGACGAGGAGCUUGCUCCUCUGACGUUAGCGGCGGACGGGUGAGUAACACGUGGAUAACCUACCUAUAAGACUGGGAUAACUUCGGGAAACCGGAGCUAAUACCGGAUAAUCUAUUGAACCGCAUGGUUCAAUAGUGAAAGACGGUUUUGCUGUCACUUAUAGAUGGAUCCGCGCCGCAUUAGCUAGUUGGUAAGGUAACGGCUUACCAAGGCAACGAUGCGUAGCCGACCUGAGAGGGUGAUCGGCCACACUGGAACUGAGACACGGUCCAGACUCCUACGGGAGGCAGCAGUAGGGAAUCUUGCGCAAUGGGCGAAAGCCUGACGGAGCAACGCCGCGUGAGUGAUGAAGGUCUUCGGAUCGUAAAACUCUGUUAUUAGGGAAGAACAAAUGUGUAAGUAACUAUGCACGUCUUGACGGUACCUGAUCAGAAAGCCACGGCUAACUACGUG
rnacentral:rRNA from 1 species